rnacentral:rRNA from 1 species
AGACGUCUACAUUAGAUACCCCCGUAGUCCCAGCCGUAAACAAUGCGCGUUAGGUGUAUCGACGACCACGAGUCGUCGAGGUGCCGAAGGGAAACCGUGAAACGUGCCGCCUGGGAAGUACGGUCGCAAGGCUGAAACUUAAAGGAAUUGGCGGGGGAGCACCACAACAGGUGGAGCCUGCGGCUUAAUUGGACUCAACGCCGGGAAGCUCACCGGAUAGGACAGCAGAAUGAUUGCCGGGCUGAAGACUCUGCAUGACUAGCUG